UCACUGAGAAGGAGCAGAUUGUUCCCAAACCAGAGGAAGAGGUUUCUCAGAAGAAAAAGGUUUCUCAGAAGAAACUGAAGAAGCAGAAACUUAUGGCUCGGGAGUAAAUGUAAAUAAAGUCCAACAUUCGUACUACA